CUAGAAAGACGGGCCUUGAUCCC
rnacentral:tRNA from 1 species